GUCUACGGCCAUACCUAGGCGAAAACACCAGUUCCCGUCCGAUCACUGCAGUUAAGCGUCUGAGGGCCUCGUUAGUACUAUGGUUGGAGACAACAUGGGAAUCCGGGGUGCUGUAGGCUCUU
rnacentral:rRNA from 1 species